UACGUAGGGUGCAAGCGUUGUCCGGAAUUAUUGGGCGUAAAGGGCUCGUAGGCGGUCUGUCGCGUCGGGAGUGAAAACACGGGGCUUAACCCCGUGCCUGCUUCCGAUACGGGCAGACUAGAGGUAUGCAGGGGAGAACGGAAUUCCUGGUGUAGCGGUGAAAUGCGCAGAUAUCAGGAGGAACACCGGUGGCGAAGGCGGUUCUCUGGGCAUUACCUGACGCUGAGGAGCGAAAGUGUGGGGAGCGAACAGG
rnacentral:rRNA from 1 species